GACGUAGGGCGCGAGCGUUGUCCGGAUUUAUUGGGCGUAAAGAGCUCGUAGGCGGCUUGUCGCGUCGACUGUGAAAACCCGCGGCUCAACCGUGUGGUCUGCAGUCGAUACGGGCAGGCUAGAGUUCGGUAGGGGAGACCGGAAUUCCUGGUGUAGCGGUGGAAUGCGCAGAUAUCAGGAAGAACACCCGUGGCGAAGGCGGCUCUCUGGGACGGUACUGACGCUGAGACGCGAAAGCGUGGGGAGCGAACAGG
rnacentral:rRNA from 1 species